rnacentral:rRNA from 1 species
UACGUAGGGGGCAAGCGUUGUCCGGAUUUAUUGGGCGUAAAGAGCGUGUAGGCGGCCUGGUAGGUCAGCUGUGAAAACUCGGGGCUCAACCUCGAGACGCCGGUUGAAACCAUCAGGCUAGAGUCCGGAAGAGGAGAGUGGAAUUCCCGGUGUAGCGGUGAAAUGCGCAGAUAUCGGGAAGAACACCCGUGGCUAAGGCGGCUCUCUAGUACGGUACUGACGCUGAGACGCGAAAGCGUGGGGAGCGAACAGG